AGCAACUUGACGCAGUGGAAGCGUGCAGGGCUCAUAACGGACGGUCCGAAUUGGAACCCUGAAGUCCCUGGAUCGAAACCAGGAGUUGCUA